GACGAACGCUGGCGGCGUGCCUAAUACAUGCAAGUCGAGCGGGCCUCCGGAGGUGCUUGCACCUCCGGAAGGCCAGCGGCGGACGGGUGAGUAACACGUGGGCAACCUGCCUUUGAGGACGGGAUAACACCGGGAAACCGGUGCUAAUACCGGAUACGUCCUCUUUCGCGCCUGCGAGAGGGGAGAAAGAAGGUCUUUAAGGCCGUCGCUCAAAGAGGGGCCCGCGGCGCGUUAGUUUGUUGGUGGGGUAAGGGCCUACCAAGGCGACGAUGCGUGGCCGACCGGGGAGGGUGAUCGGCCACACUGGGACUGAGACACGGCCCAGACUCCUGCGGGAGGCAGCAGUAGGGAAUCAUCCGCAAUGGGCGAAAGCCUGACGGUGCAACGCCGCGUGAGUGAGGAAGGUUUUCGGAUCGUAAAGCUCUGUUGUGAGGGAAGAACAGCUUCCGGAGGAAAUGCCGGAGGUUUGCCGGUACCUCACCAGAAAGCCCCGGCUAACUACGUGCCAGCCGCCGCUGUAA
rnacentral:rRNA from 1 species